rnacentral:rRNA from 1 species
GAUGAACGCUAGCGGCAGGCCUAACACAUGCAAGUCGAGGGGUAGCAGGAUUAAGCUUGCUUAAUUGCUGACGACCGGCGCACGGGUGCGUAACGCGUAUGCAACCUACCUUAUACUGGGGUAUAGCCCGGAGAAAUUCGGAUUAAUCCCCCAUAGUACUAAUGAAUCGCAUGGUUUAUUAGUUAAAGCAUUGCGGUAUAAGAUGGGCAUGCGUCCUAUUAGCUAGAUGGUGAGGUAACGGCUCACCAUGGCAACGAUAGGUAGGGGGACUGGGAGGGUGGUCCCCGACACAGGUGCGUAGAAACGGACCAGACUUCUACGGGAGGCAGCAGUAAGGAAUAUUGGUCAAUGGGCGCAAGCCUGAACCAGCCAUGCCGCGUGCAGGAAGAAUGCCCUAUGGGUUGUAAACUGCUUUUAUUUGGGAAUAAACCUCUUUACGUGUAGAGAGCUGAAGGUACCAAAUGAAUAAGCACCGGCUAACUCCGUGCCAGCCGCCGCCGUAA